CGAACGGGUGAGUAACACUGGGCAACCUGCCCAAAANAGGGGGAUAACACUUGGAAACAGGUGCUAAUACCGCAUAACCAUAGUUACCGCAUGGUAACUAUGUAAAAGGUGGCUAUGCUACCGCUUUUGGAUGGGCCCGCGGCGCAUUAGCUAGUUGGUGGGGUAAAGGCUUACCAAGGCAAUGAUGCGUAGCCGAACUGAGAGGUUGAUCGGCCACAUUGGGACUGAGACACGGCCCAAACUCCUACGGAAGGCAGCAG
rnacentral:rRNA from 1 species